rnacentral:rRNA from 1 species
UACGAAGGGGGCUAGCGUUGUUCGGAAUUACUGGGCGUAAAGCGCGCGCAGGCGGCCAUUCAAGUCAGGGGUGAAAGCCCAGAGCUCAACUCUGGAACUGCCCUUGAAACUGUAUGGCUUGAGUAUGAGAGAGGUGAGUGGAAUUCCCAGUGUAGAGGUGAAAUUCGUAGAUAUUGGGAAGAACACCGGUGGCGAAGGCGGCUCACUGGCUCGAUUACUGACGCUCAGGCGCGACAGCGUGGGGGAUCAAACAGG